CAAUUUAUAUUUGCAUUUCAAGUUAUGAAAAUAAUUUACUAAACAUGUCUGUGGUUUUUACACUAAAAGAAAACAUAACUAUUACUAGGAUUUUAUGUGUUUGUAUGAUUCCAGAUCAGUUGUGUUAAUACAGUAUGUCAAUGAAAAAAUAACUGUAAAUUCGGACAUGUGAGGUUGUGCUGAAAAGAAUGAUACCAAGCAAGACAAGGAAAAUUUCUCUAGAUCCACCCCUGGACCUGUCCUGGACCAGCAACACCAAAUCAGUGACAAAAAGAGCUCAGCAGCGACUGCAAUUCAAGAGACGACUGAAGAAGGUCCACAUCCCCAAACCCAUCUUUAACACCUUCUACAGAGGUACCAUACAGAGCAUCCUAACCCGCUAUUUACACCUCACGCUGCACUGGGAAAGCCACAAGCAUCAUAGCCGACCCGCAUCACCUUUCCCACCAACUGUUUACCACCCCUUAAUCCAGAAGAUGACUCUGCGUCAUCAGGAGCAGGUGGGCAAGAUUGUGCAAUAGGAUUUUCCCCCAAAGCAAUCCGGCUCCUGAACACCAUGCUGCGCUCCUCCACACUGAACUCUCUUCUCCACACACUUCUUGGACUACAUAACACUCUCCUUUCACAACCAAUUCUUACACUACCCUGUAUUGUACUGAUCGACUCUGUCUGUUGUCUUUAUUUAUUCUCAUUGUUUUCUAUUCUUACUCUCUCUGUAUUCAAGUACAAUACUGUUGUACUUACUCUUAGAUUAUCUUAUUUCUGUAUAGUUGUAAGUAUGUAUGUAUAUUUGAAUUUUCCCAUUUUAUUUUUACACUUUGCACCUUUGAUCCAGGACAAUGAUAUUUCAUCGCACUGUAUACUUGAGUGCAUGUUGUUGGGUUGACAAUAAAACUCUGCUUGACUUGAAUUAAACUUGUGCAUUAGCGAAUGAGGAAAUGAGCCUCUACAGGCCUCAGACAGC
ensembl:lncRNA